UACGUAGGGGGCAAGCGUUGUCCGGAAUCAUUGGGCGUAAAGCGCGUGUAGGCGGCCAGAAAAGUCCGCUGUGAAAACUCGAGGCUCAACUUCGAGCUGUCGGUGGAAACUUUCUGGCUAGAGUCCGGAAGAGGAGAAUGGAAUUCCUGGUGUAGCGGUGAAAUGCGCAGAUAUCAGGAAGAACACCCGUGGCGAAGGCGGUUCUCUGGGACGGUACUGACGCUGAGACGCGAAAGCGUGGGGAGUGAACAGG
rnacentral:rRNA from 1 species